CUACGUGCCAGCAGCCGCGGUAAUACGUAGGUCCCGAGCGUUGUCCGGAUUUAUUGGGCGUAAAGCGAGCGCAGGCGGUUAGAUAAGUCUGAAGUUAAAGGCUGUGGCUUAACCAUAGUACGCUUUGGAAACUGUUUAACUUGAGUGCAAGAGGGGAGAGUGGAAUUCCAUGUGUAGCGGUGAAAUGCGUAGAUAUAUGGAGGAACACCGGUGGCGAAAGCGGCUCUCUGGUCUGUAACUGACGCUGAGGCUCGAAAGCGUGGGGAGCGAACAGGAUUAGAUACCCUGGUAGUCCACGCCGUAAACGAUGAGUGCUAGGUGUUGGAUCCUUUCCGGGAUUCAGUGCCGCAGCUAACGCAUUAAGCACUCCGCCUGGGGAGUACGACCGCAAGGUUGAAACUCAAAGGAAUUGACGGGGGCCCGCACAAGCGGUGGAGCAUGUGGUUUAAUUCGAAGCAACGCGAAGAACCUUACCAGGUCUUGACAUCCCGAUGCUAUUUCUAGAGAUAGAAAGUUAC
rnacentral:rRNA from 1 species